GAUUAACGCUAGCUACAGGCUUAACACAUGCAAGUCGAGGGGCAGCAUUUCAGUUUGCUUGCAAACUGGAGAUGGCGACCGGCGCACGGGUGAGUAACACGUAUCCAACCUGCCGAUAACUCGGGGAUAGCCUUUCGAAAGAAAGAUUAAUACCCGAUGGUAUAAUCAGACCGCAUGGUCUUGUUAUUAAAGAAUUUCGGUUAUCGAUGGGGAUGCGUUCCAUUAGGCAGUUGGUGAGGUAACGGCUCACCAAACCUUCGAUGGAUAGGGGUUCUGAGAGGAAGGUCCCCCACAUUGGAACUGAGACACGGUCCAAACUCCUACGGGAGGCAGCAGUGAGGAAUAUUGGUCAAUGGGCGCAGGCCUGAACCAGCCAAGUAGCGUGAAGGAUGACUGCCCUAUGGGUUGUAAACUUCUUUUAUAUGGGAAUAAAGUUUUCCACGUGUGGAAUUUUGUAUGUACCAUAUGAAUAAGGAUCGGCUAACUCCGUGCCAGCAGCCGCGGUAAUACGGAGGAUCCGAGCGUUAUCCGGAUUUAUUGGGUUUAAAGGGAGCGUAGGUGGACAGUUAAGUCAGUUGUGAAAGUUUGCGGCUCAACCGUAAAAUUGCAGUUGAUACUGGCUGUCUUGAGUACAGUAGAGGUGGGCGGAAUUCGUGGUGUAGCGGUGAAAUGCUUAGAUAUCACGAAGAACUCCGAUUGCGAAGGCAGCUCACUGGACUGCAACUGACACUGAUGCUCGAAAGUGUGGGUAUCAAACAGGAUUAGAUACCCUGGUAGUCCACACAGUAAACGAUGAAUACUCGCUGUUUGCGAUAUACAGUAAGCGGCCAAGCGAAAGCAUUAAGUAUUCCACCUGGGGAGUACGCCGGCAACGGUGAAACUCAAAGGAAUUGACGGGGGCCCGCACAAGCGGAGGAACAUGUGGUUUAAUUCGAUGAUACGCGAGGAACCUUACCCGGGCUUAAAUUGCAUUUGAAUAUAUUGGAAACAGUAUAGCCGUAAGGCAAAUGUGAAGGUGCUGCAUGGUUGUCGUCAGCUCGUGCCGUGAGGUGUCGGCUUAAGUGCCAUAACGAGCGCAACCCUUAUCUUUAGUUACUAACAGGUCAUGCUGAGGACUCUAGAGAGACUGCCGUCGUAAGAUGUGAGGAAGGUGGGGAUGACGUCAAAUCAGCACGGCCCUUACGUCCGGGGCUACACACGUGUUACAAUGGGGGGUACAGAAGGCAGCUACCUGGUGACAGGAUGCUAAUCCCAAAAGCCUCUCUCAGUUCGGAUCGAAGUCUGCAACCCGACUUCGUGAAGCUGGAUUCGCUAGUAAUCGCGCAUCAGCCAUGGCGCGGUGAAUACGUUCCCGGGCCU
rnacentral:rRNA from 1 species